CAUGUCCUACGGGGGGCAGCAGUGGGGAAUAUUGCACAAUGGGCGCAAGCCUGAUGCAGCGACGCCGCGUGCGGGAUGGAGGCCUUCGGGUUGUAAACCGCUUUUGUUCAAGGGCAAGGCACGGUCUUUGGCCGUGUUGAGUGGAUUGUUCGAAUAAGCACCGGCUAACUACGUGCCAGCAGCCGCGGUAAUACGUAGGGUGCAAGCGUUAUCCGGAUUUAUUGGGCGUAAAGGGCUCGUAGGCGGUUCGCCGCGUCCGGGGUGAAAGUCCAUCGCUUAACGGUGGAUCCGCGCGGGGCACGGGG
rnacentral:rRNA from 1 species